rnacentral:rRNA from 1 species
UACGUAGGGUGCAAGCGUUAAUCGGAAUUACUGGGCGUAAAGCGUGCGCAGGCGGUUAUGUAAGACAGAUGUGAAAUCCCCAGGCUUAACCUGGGAACUGCAUCCGAUACUGGAUGGCUUGAAUUCGGGAGAGGGAUGCAGAAUUCCAGGUGUAGCGGUGAAAUGCGUAGAUAUCUGGAGGAAUACCGGUGGCGAAGGCGGCAUCCUGGACCGAGAUUGACGCUGAUGAGCGAAAGCUAGGGGAGCAAACGAG